CGGAGAGUUUGAUCCUGGCUCAGAUUGAACGCUGGCGGCAUGCCUUACACAUGCAAGUCGAACGGCAGCACGGAGCUUGCUCUGGUGGCGAGUGGCGAACGGGUGAGUAAUAUAUCGGAACGUACCCUGGAGUGGGGGAUAACGUAGCGAAAGUUACGCUAAUACCGCAUACGAUCUACGGAUGAAAGUGGGGGAUCGCAAGACCUCAUGCUCGUGGAGCGGCCGAUAUCUGAUUAGCUAGUUGGUAGGGUAAAAGCCUACCAAGGCAUCGAUCAGUAGCUGGUCUGAGAGGACGACCAGCCACACUGGAACUGAGACACGGUCCAGACUCCUACGGGAGGCAGCAGUGGGGAAUUUUGGACAAUGGGCGAAAGCCUGAUCCAGCAAUGCCGCGUGAGUGAAGAAGGCCUUCGGGUUGUAAAGCUCUUUUGUCAGGGAAGAAACGGUGAGGGCUAAUAUCUCUUGCUAAUGACGGUACCUGAAGAAUAAGCACCGGCUAACUACGUGCCAGCAGCCGCGGGUAAUACGUAGGGUGCAAGCGUUAAUCGGAAUUACUGGGGCGUAAAGCGUGCGCAGGCGGUUUUGUAAGUCUGAUGUGAAAUCCCCGGGCUCAACCUGGGAAUUGGCAUUGGAGACUGCAAGGCU
rnacentral:rRNA from 1 species